GAAAACAAUUCAUGAAAAAAACGACGUCGUAUCCUUGAAAGAGCUGCCCUAGUGAGUCAAGAAAACUACAUCCCGUCGGUGCUGCACCAGCAACGGUGAAUCCAAUCAAUCGGUACUCCGCUACGCUAGGUACUCACUAAUACAAUCUAUCUUCCAAUGUAUUGCUUUAAUCUGCAUAAUCCUCUUGUUACCAUUUCUUUUCGGAAUUUCUUUAUUCUCCAAAUUUUUGUUCAGAAUAUGAUAACUUUGAUUAGUUGUUAUAAUUUUCAUAGAUUUUCAAUCUUCUUAAUUUCCAAUGUCGGGCAAUGUAGCAUUCUUAAAUUCAAUUGAAAUUAUCAUAUGUAAUUUGUGAACAAACUUGAUCUCUACAACCAUAACACAAUACCCCCAACUCUAGUUUUAAGGUUGGAACAAUCCCUUCAAAGAAAAUUAUGACAGUUAUUAUAAUUUAGUAUUGAAUUUCGUUAAGAACAAUUAGCAAAAAUAUUAUUGUCUUGUAAAACUAUUCUUUUUUUUUUUGGUUGAUAGACGAAAUGGCAAAGCCAUUGGAAACUCUCACACACAAAGUGGAGUGACCGGAGUUUAAACCCCGUCCUGACGUCCGACACCAGCAAUUUCGACAUUCGUGUCAGUUGAGCUAGGAUUUGUGGACUUAAAACUAUUAUCUUUUAUGAAAUUCUAUUUAUUAUAAUCCUCUAAGAAAAUUUAUUUUAAGGAAUAAAAUAAUAUC
rnacentral:lncRNA from 1 species